rnacentral:lncRNA from 1 species
UCUCUUCGACAACAAUUUGAUUAUUGACAUUGCUGAAAUCACAUUUGCAGACUGUGAGCAACUGUAUUACAUGUAAGUAUAUAUAUUAAAUAUUCAGUUUGUAAUCUUAUUUCAAUUAUUUGAAGGUUUGGUUAGACAAAACAAGUGCGGAAAUUUUUUCAACAACACAUUAUUUCUUCCAUACAUGUAACACUAAGAUUAUAUAAAACCAUAUGAAGAAGAGAUUUGGUACGAUUGUCAAAGAGACUUAUAUUAACCAAAGUUAACAUGAAGUAGAUUCGGGCAAUAAUAAUGCAUACUACAAAAGACGUGCAGAUUUGUAAACGAAAUUGUCCUGACGAUUUGCUGGUGAUUUUAGAAACAGUCCUGGUUCUGUACACUUAUGUCCUGGUUUUGUGCUCUUAUAUUGAAGUUAAAAGUGUCAAAUAUUUAAGAUCAUUGAUGCGGAAAAUUUGUGUUAUUGAUAAGAAAUAUACCUAACAUAUAUUUGGUGGAUAUUUCAUGUGAGCAAAACUGAUUCUAUUUUGUUUUGAUUGAUUUUUGACCGAAUGCAAAUAUGUAAUGUUGAGUUUUUUGGGCAUUUUUAAACUAUGUUAACUGUUGUUGAAGAUAUUUGUUCUGUUAACUGUUUUUUUGUAAUUUAUUUUUAUUUCAUCUGAAAAUACACCAAGUAUAUAUUGUGAUACAUGAUUAUAUAGAUAAUUCAUAAUACAUGAAUAUGAUAUUAAAUUUUUCAAUAACAGAUUAAGAUUAAAGAGUUAGUUAGUGCAAUUGUUCUAAAUUUUCUACUCGAUCAUACACAUCCUUUAUCACUCUGGAUUAGAAUACCUGAAUAUGCUGAUAAUGUUAAUGAUUGCAUCAGCCCUUCUCCUAUAGCCACAUGCAUCACUGCCUAUACAGUGAUGUUAAAACAUGAGAGGUACCAGGAGAGGCCACCAGAGAUCAUUAACAGAUAACAUAUUGGACAACAUGUUGGACAGAGUCACAUAAUAAAUGUUCACCUAAGUCAAGGGGAGAUAAUUCAAAUACAAUACAAAAAAAACUAGUAUAUCAAUAUAUAUAUAUAACAAUAAGAAUAAACAUAGAUAGUACUUUUAAGAUGCACACAAAUCACUGUCCAGUUGUGAUGUGCAUCAACAUAUUAUUAAUUCUACAUGAACUAUUAUAAAGCCUUAAGUAAGUAAAAUAGAAAGAUCUCUCCUCACAUGUGAACUAAGUUUUUAAUUAAUUCCCAUUUACUAUCAAAUUUCUCUCUUGCUUCUAGGGGAUCUGUAAAAGGAGGUAGAUAUUUUUUCUAUUUGGUAGGAAUUUUUAAUCAUAGCUAUGACACCUUUAAGAGUCGGUAAUGAAGUAUUAAAGCGACAUGUAUAAAUAUAAUAUUUAACCAGAAUAGUGAAUAAGUUUAUGGAAACUUCCCAAGACUCUGACCCAAGAACAAUAUUUUCCACAUUGAAUAUUAAAGUUAAAUUAUUUUCAACUAGAAAAAGUGCUGCAAUUUCUAACCACAAAUUUCUAACUAGCAUACAUUCCCAGAAAAGGUGACUUAUAGUUUCUUUAGUUUCAUUACAGAAACUACAUAAGUUAGUUUCUUUUAACCCAGAUUUCUGCAAUAAUGCAUUUGUAGCGAGAGUUCUAUGUAAAAUCUUAAACUGGAACAUACUAAAUUUGUUGUUUUUAGUGCAACAAAAGGGUAAACUAUAAAGGAUCCCAAUUUUCUAUAUUGGUAUCAUUGAGAAUGGAAAUGGGGAAUGUGCCAAAGAGACAACAACCCGACCAUUGAAAAAAUCAACAGCAGAAGGUCACCAACAGGUCUUCAAUGUAUGAGGAGACAGUGGAAACUAAAUUUGCCAUACUAAUUUCAAAUUUACACAAGAAACUAAAAUUUUACAAGACUAACAAAAAUGCGGCGGGUAAACAUGUUUGGAUAUCUCAACCCUCCUCCUAUGCUCUAGCCAAUGUCGAAAAGUAAACGCAUAACAAAACAUUAAAAUCAGUCCAAGAGAAGUCCGAGUCUGAUGUCAGAAAUAACCAAGAAAAUAAACAAAAUGACAAUAAUACAUAAAUAACAACAGACUACUAGCAGUUAACUGACAUGCCAGCUCCAGACUUCAAUUAAACUGACUGAAAGAUAAUGAUUUCAUCAUAUGAACAUCAGGCACUUACACAUUUUGUCUUCUUGUUUUGUAGGACGUUCUGUAUACAUUGACAAGAUUUUUUUAUAAAAGAACUGACAUGACUUUUUAUUGUUUUUUAUAAAUUCAAAUUUAUCGUUAGAUAUGUGCGUAAUUUUCUCUAAAGUAGUGAUUAGAUUUUUCCAGUCUUUUGGUAUCAUAUGAAGCAAAGAAUGGUAUUCCAAGAAAUUAAUAUUAAGAUUAUAUUUUUUGCAGAAUUCGUUUAAAGUAAACAAAAUACUGUUUUCAUCAAAUAAAUCACCUACAACUCUGGUAAAAGACAGUCUUAUUAAUAAUUUUCAACCUCUUGUUUUGCCAUAUUGAUUGGUUCAUGAUCCCUUCAGCAGUGCAAUUAGUGACAGUGUUUAGGAUAUUCCAGUUUAGUAAAAUAUCUUUCCAGAAAUUAUUAAAAUUUGAAGAAAUCUUUUGGAUACCAUCAGGGGUCAUCAACCAUAUUUUGUCUGCUCCUAAUCUGUUGGAUUGAUCUAUUAACAAUGUUUUUCAUGGAGAUAUAUUCAAGGGGUCUAAAAGUUUAUUUAUCCAUGUCAUCUUUAAUGAAUAACAAAAAGAUCUUAUAUCUGGCAAUUUUCACCCCCAUUUUCAAAUAACCCUAUCAUAACUUUUCUUUAAAUCUUGUCUGGUUUUCCUGACCACAAAUAACUAAAAAAAAAUAUUUUGAAUUUCUUUUAUUUUAUCAUCAGGCGGGUUUGGCUAAACUGUCAAUGCUUGAAUUAUAAUAGGUAGAGCUAGUGACUUAAUGACAGUGAUCUUUCCCAUAUAUGUUUAAGUCUCUAUAAACACCAAGAAUUUAGUCUAGCUCUGUAUUUUUUUUUUUUUUCUACAAAAUUUACAAGCGUUUUAUUUUCACUGAACAGAUCAAAUUUUAUUCCUAAAAGUUUAAAUUUUCCUGAACUAUUUCAGUUUAAAUUUCUUGUAGUUGUUAGCUUAUCCCUUGAGUGGAUCUUUGACCCAAUGACUUCAGUUUUAUCAAAAUAAGCUCUAAGUACCGCACACUCUGAAAAUUUUUCUAAAGUAUAUAAACAUUUAUCUAAAGAUUGCUCAUCCUCGUCUAAUAAGAGACAUGAGUCAUCUGCAUACUGGCUUAGUAGAUACUCAGAAUCAUUUAUUUUCAUACCAUUUAUAUCUGGGUUAUUUUUAAGUGCAGCACUCAUAAGUUCUAAAGAUAAUAUAAAGAUCACCUUGUCUAACACCUCGACCAAUAUUACAAAAUUGAGAGCAAUGUCCAUUAUUUAUAACAAUGUUUAAUACAGUUCUGCGAUUCUGAAUAUAAGGACUUAACCCAUCUACAAAAAAUAGGACCAAAUCCUAGAAAAGACAAAGCCAAGUCUAUAAAUGACCACUCAAGAGUAUCAAAAGCUUUCUCGAAGUCAAAUAAAAGUAAAAGACCUGGUAGAUUAUCAUCUUUUGCCUUUUCCAUAAUGUCAAAAAUAAGCCUGGUGCAUUCUCUAAUAUACCUCCCCUUUAUGAAACCUUGCUGUGUUUCACUAAUUAUAUCCCCAAGAAAAGGUUUUUAUUCUAUUUACUAGUGCAGUUGAUGCAAUUUGUGUAUCAACAUUUAAGAAAGUGAUAGGUCUCCAGUUUUUUAAUUGAAAUUUUGAUUUACUCUCUUUUGGAAUGCAUGUUAUUACUCCUUGUUUCUGACUAACCGAAAAAGAUCCAGUUUCUAAACUAUUAUUUAAAGAUUUUAUAAUAAACUCAUGGAGGUCUAUUCAAAAGAAUUCAUAAAAUUCUGUUGUAAAUCCAUCAAUCCCUGGAGAUUUACCCUUUUUUCUAAUUUUUCAAUGUUUUUAAGCAUUCAUUAGCAUUCAAAUUACUCUCUGCCUGUAACCUCUGUUCAUCAGAAAGUUUGCGGAUAAAAGGAUUAUUUUCAUCAAAAAAUAGAUUUUUAUGUUUUUAAUGAAGAAUAGGAUUUGUUGAGGAGUACAAUUUUUCAUAAAAUGAUUUGUGUUCUUCCAAAAUGUCACUUUGCUUUAAACAUUUCCUCUCCAUUAUCCUUAAUUAAUUUUGGAAUUAUCUUUUCAUUAUAAUUUCUUUUUUCAAGAUUACUAAAAUAGUUUGUACAUUUUUCACCUUCUGCUACCCAUCUUGCCUUUGCUCUUGCCAUAAUACCUGUUACUAUUUUCUCUCUGUGUUGAACAAGUUCUUUUUUUUUUUAAUUUAAUUUCUGAUUUUAAUAAUUAUGAGGGAUUUAUUUCAUAAUUUUCAAGUAAUUUAGCUAACUUGAACUCUAAAUCUUUUUCAGUUUUUGUGUCUUUCUUUUUCAUAUAACUGGCAUAUGAUAUUGUUUUCCCUUUUAACAUACAUUGUAAGAGUUCCCAAAAUGUGUGGGUUUACUGAUAGUUCUGUUUCUAGGUUAGAGGUUCUGGUCUGUUUAAUAUUAUUGACUCAUUAGCUGUUAUAUGUUUUCUUGAAACUGGCAUUGUUGUGAAAUGUUAUUUUUAAGAUUUAAGUUGACUUUAACUACUGUUAUCGAUGAUCAUCUUUAAAAUUUACUGUAAUCUGAUUAAAGCAAUAAUAAUAAAAAAAAACUCUUGUCUCCUUUUGAGAUAUGAAAAUAUGUAUUAGAUUCAUUACUAUCCUUUUGCGUGACCAUCAAAAUGCGGUGUACAGUAUUCAAUACACAUAUGAACACAAUGCAGUGGCAUGUUUCUAAUGGGUGCACAAAAGAAAAAACAGGAGUGACAAGAUCGAUUGAAUACAAUUAUCAGGUAAAUUUAUUUGAUUCUAAAACGUCUGUUUGAAUUAUGACAAACUUUAAACUAAAAUCACCAGUACCGUAUCUAGACCGUAUCUAGACCCAUUAGCACAAUGAAAGGACCCACCAGCACAGAACCAGGACACGUCUUAACUGACAAAAUGCACAAUUUUAAAAAACUGCACAAAAAUAAUUGUGUCGUGUGGAUUUUGGUAUAUAUAGCGGACUCCAAAACAUUUUGUUUCAUUUUUUCAGUUCUAGACUUUCUAAAAGUAGGCAGUAUUGAGUUACGCCUGCUGAAACUAUUUAGAUAGUCUCAUUUUAAGUUGUUUGAAUCUGAACCCACAAGAAACUUAAUGAAAUAAUCCCAAAAGUUUCCUUUCAUCCAUUUUUUAUGCGAGAAAACGUCAAAAAUCAUAAUUUUCGUCUUUAUUUACAUAUUUGCAAUAAUUACAAGCACCAGUCAGGACCGAAUCACCAGCACAUAAUGUUUCAUGGUAGGACAACCUUACCCAUCGUGCACUUGUUUAUCUGUUGUUUUUUUUUAUGUGAAUGUUAUUACUUAAACAGAAAAAAAAAACAAAUAAAUAAAUACCUGCAUUCUGUUGUGACAGAUGAAUGGUAAUAACUAAAUGGAAUCAAACAAGUGAGCUGUUAUAGUAAGCAAAAACGUAUCUACUUAUAACGUGGAUUAUGUCAGAAAAUUUAAUUUCUUUUUUUGUACAUAAUUCCGUUUAAUUUAUUUCAAAGGAAUUAAACAACAUUUUAUUUCUAAUUAAAUAUUUAAAAUUUUAUCAAUUAUAUUUGAGAAAAUCUAUGAUAUUAAUCACAAAAUAACAAAACAUACUGUGCAAAUUUUUCAUACUAAUAUAUGUAAGUAUUCAACAUUAUUUAUGUACAUAUAAUAUCAAUUAACAACAAUUGUUCUGUUUUUCUUAGGUCAAGGUCAUUGAUGUUUUGCAAAAGCAAAGCAGAUGGCAACUGUUGAUGAAACUAUUUUAUGUCAAUAAUAUAUUUUGACCUGUUAUCCUGCUAUGUAUUAUAGUGACACAGACAUGUUUUAUAUUUCAGAGAACUUCGAAACAACAAGAUAAGGUCCAUAGAAAGCAAUACGUUUGUAAAUAUGACAAACUUGUAUAAUCUGUAAGUCACGAUGUUUAUUUGUUUGUUUCGUUUUCUUCAAAUAAUCAAUUAACUCAUAUAUCUAUUGUCAUAACGAUUUUUAAUUUAUUCGAUAAGGUUGAGAUAAUGUUGUUCAUACAGGUGCUAUUGUUUCUUCAUGCUUAUAAAUACUUUUCAAAAAUUAAGGUUUGAGCUUUCUUGAUAAAUGUUAAUUUAUAAAAGAGCUUUGGACGAGCACAUGUCAGUAAAAAAAAUGCAUUUACUAAGCCGUAGUCAACACCAUUACAUGUGUACUGUAAAUACCCGAUGAUUUCAUUAUGCCUUUAGUCGUACUUCUGUUUCAACACUUGGAAAAUAAAAUGAAUGGUGCGUUGCUAAUCACAAAGAGUAAUCACAAAGGGUACUAUUCGAUUAUAGGUCGAUGCAUCUUUCUAAACAUUGGAUUGAUACCAAAUCUGAUGCACUGUUAAUGUAGAUUCCGAAUGUAUAAUCAGCAAGCUAAUGGUUGCGUCUAUAUUCUGUGAACAUGGUCAAAACUAUUACCCAGAUUAAUACCAAUAUUGAUGUACUGUUAGUUGGUGUUAUUAUAUUAUUACUAUACACUAUCAAAUUGUAUUUAUUGGGAUUUUUUGUACACUUUUUCGUUUAGUAUUCUAAAUUGCGUUAUCAUGUUCGUCUAACAAAGAUAUUUUUAAUUCACAUAUAUGUACUUUUAUUUUUAUUUUGUAAAAUCAUGAAAUAUAGAAUGACUUCUUUCAAAAAUACAAAUGAGAUAGUGACUGUCGUCGUGUAUUCGACAGUGAAACAAACUACGUUUUUUAUAUAUAAUAUGGUCAGCAACUGCCUAUCUUGUGGAGACAUCUGUAUAGUCUAUUGCAUGUUUAGAUAUCUACAUUGCUCUGUCCCGUUGGUUUUACAUUUAUUUAUUUUUUUUUAUAAUGUAUUUUUAUCUUGUGUAUACUUUGGUCAAUUAACAGCUUAGCAUGCUAUUGGGACAAAUGUGUCAAUCUUAAUACAAAAUGUUGCAUUACGGAUGCACACCUCUGACGAGCCAAAAAUUUCUAAAAUUAAGCUUUUGUUCUAAACCUGAUUUUUGGAUUUAUGUAAAAAAAUAAUUGGUGAAGAAAAAAUCAUAUGGUGGUGCGCUUCUAUUUCUGCUACGGCCCUCUGAAAAUACCCAAUUUUGAUGACGUCUGUAUAUCUAUACUAUUAAACGAGAAGACCUCAUUUUGUGUGUCGCUUCUCUUCUUUCCACAAUAAAGUAAUCAACACACCUCUGUGUCCUAUAGGUACAGUGCGUAUUCGCAUUUGUCAUCCACUCAUAUGAUUAUUCAGAUUGAGUUAUUUUUGGUGAAAAACGAGAAAAAAAGCAUCCGGAUAUUGUCCCGUCAUUGGACAAAAUUUUAAGUCAGAUUAUACUUCCGUUUUGCAUUUUUCUGUAUACUUUGAACACACAUAUACAAAGAAUAAAGUGUAUUUUCAGAAUUUUAUCUGCUAUCAUUUUCAAAUUUACUAUCCACGGCGGUCACAGAGUUUAUUAAAUAGAGAAGGUCUGUAUACUAUAUCAAUGACCACCAUGGAUUGAUUAGAAAACUUAGAAUUGGAAGUAAAUACAUUAUAUGUAUAUAGUAAUGAAUGUUCAUAAUAUACAGAUAAGCGCUAAAAAUAUUCAUGUGAAUUUUUUAUACCUUUUCUGAAAAUCUCCAGUCAUUAAAUCUUUUACAAAAUUCAUUGAUUUAAAAAAAAACAGAAGAUGUGGUAUGAUUGCCAUGUUGAGACAACUAUUCACAAGAGACCAAUAUGCCACAGAAAUUAACAACUAUAGGUCACCGUACGACCUUCAACAACGCCUAUACCGCAUACUGAGCUUUAAAAGGCCCAGAACUGACAAUGUAAAACAAUUCAAACCAGAAAACUAGCGGUCUUAUUUAUUUACAAAAAAUGAACGAAAAACAAAUAUGUAACACAUAAACAAACGACAACCACUGAAUUACAGGCUCCUUACUUAAAUGUUCAUACUAUACUAAUUGUAUGUUCAUGUUGAAAUUGAUAGAAAACCAAAAAUUGUGAAUUUUGGAAAUAAAGGAGGAGGGAUAAAAAAAACAUUUUCCUGUCCCCAAUAACCUAUGACUUAUGAUACUUUUGCUGAAAUUCUCCAGACAUUCAACAUGUUCAAUUUUUAUAAAAUUCUUCCAACAACACUUUACAAAUGUACAUACUUUAAACUACGCUCUGAAUGCCCGCGAUUUCGCGGGUGUGUUCUAGUAUAUUUUAUACUUCUACACAAUCAUGAAUGUGUGUAUUUUCGGAACAAAAGACAGUGUUUUUGUUUUUUUAGAAAUGCCAAUAAACAUAAUAACAGUUAUUGUAAGAAUCGGGACGUUUCAAAGUUUGACAGACACCUUUCUGCUGUGGAUGACUAUAUAUAAACCUCUAGAUGUAUUUUGGUUUAUCAUUUCGUUUGUUUGUUACAUAAUUGAUGUUUAUCUCAAAAUUUAUUUUAGUCACAUUAACAUUCAACCUUUAAAUGUUUGACCUUUUAUCAAACACAAUAACCAUUGAUAACGUAAAAAUGAAUAUGCUUUAUAUAAUGUUUAUUAGUUUUAUUGUUUGGUUGUCGUCUGCUCUUUUUAUUUCUAUUGAUCUUGAUUGAUUUGGUGGUAACAUAUCUGACGCAUUUUUCGCUUUUCAGAGAUCUUCAUAACAAUAACAUAUCUACAAUCAAAGCAUUCACUUUUAUGAAUCUUCCAAGUCUUCGAUAUUU